rnacentral:misc_RNA from 1 species
GAGGCCGUCGAGCUGGCGCAGGGGGCAAAAGAAGAUCUUUAUCGCGUCCUUGGAAUCUGACCCGGUGCGCGGAAAACCCCGCCCUUUAGGGCGGGGAGGAUGUCAAGGAACGGCAGGUUC